GUCAAUGUGUGUGUGUGUGUUGCAUCACUAUCCCUUCCCCCGUUGCACGGAAGUGGUGAAAUUCAUAUGUGCAAUUUUGUGUUCUGGGGAAAAUACAAUAUUUCAGGAGUCAAAACACAUGAGCUCUGUGCAGAAACAGGGUUUGAUUUAACACACCAUUGUUGGAGUAAAGUAAACGGGUGUAUUGCUGUUAUCUGGAAAAGGAGACAUGACAUCCAACAUGAAUGUGUCUGGAAAACAGGACAAGAACCACAAAAGACAAAGUCAAGCAUCAGCAGAAACCAGUUGGACUCCAUAUUCAAGGAGCUGGAAGACAAAGUCAUCACUUUGAUGAAAAAUGAGCUAAAGAGGUUUAGGAAGCUCCUAAGUCCAGAUUACCCAGCAUGCACUGACAGGGAUGUGGAUGAUGAGGAUCUGCACAGUAUCAGAGAGGGAAUGCUGAAGAUCACACUGCAUGUCCUGAAGAUCAUGAACCACACAGAUCCGCUAACACACUGCACAACAGCUGUGGGAGUGUAAUCUGAGGGAGGAAAGCUGUAGAGUUCUGUCUUCAGUUCUCAGCUCAAACUCCUCCAGUCUGAGAGGACUGAACCUGAGUUACAAUAAUCUGCAGGAUUCAGGAGUGAAACUGCUCUCUGCUGGACUGAAGAAUCCACUAUGUACACUGCAGAUACUGUGGCUGUGUGGGUGUAAUCUGACAGAGGAAAGCUGUAGAAUUCUGUCUUCAGUUCUCAGCUCAAACUCCUCCAGUCUGAAAGAAUUGGACAUGGGAUGAAAUAAACUGCAUGAUUCAGAAGUAAAGCUGCUCUCUGCUGCACUGGAGAGUCCACAUUGUACACUGGAGAUACUCAGGAUGUGUAACUGCAGUAUUGCAGAUGAAGGUUGUGCUGCACUGGCAUCAGCUCUGAGGUCAAACUCCUCAUCAAAACUCUGUGUCAAGAAGAUCAAGAAGGAUGUACACUGUAAACUGGAGACACUACUGUAAGUUACUGAUUUACUGUCUCUUUACUCUACUGUACUGAAUAAUUCAGUGUACUUAUAAUAAUAGGUAUACUUAUUAUUUUAUUGUGUGUGUGUUUUGUCUUCAUGAUGGCUGAUGUUUGUUUACACUGAUGCUCUUCUUUGUCCUUCAGAAUUAAGGAUUAUAAACUUAGCAGGACGGGCAUAUGACAGGAGUCUCACAUCAAAUCUCUUUUUCAGGACAAAGCAGCUUUGGUGGAGUGUUAGAAAUCUAUAGAAAUCUUUUUAUUUAGUCCACAACUUACUCUAGGGUUUUAUAACAAAUCCUACUGCACCUACACACAACAGAGAUAUCUUUACAGUGAUUACACAAAUACACAGCCACGUAGCUGUAUAUAGCUUAUAUUUAGCUUUAUGUUUAUCAAAAUUUGUUUCUUCAUAGAUGAUUGAUUCACAGUUGUGAUAUUAAUUUUAAUAUAUAUAUAUAUAAUAUUAAUAGUUUUAUAUAUAAUAGUUUUUGAUGAACCAUAACUUGAAAUUUUCUGGUGAAAAUGCAGAAUGGCUCCAGCAAAGGUCCCCUUUUUCAGUACAAAAACAUACACAUUAUCUCAUUAUCUGAUCUUGGGUCCAAAAUAUAAGCCCACAUCCCUGAGCAUCACUUUUUGUAUAUAUGACUACAAUGAACACUUGCAGCUAAACAAUGUGCAACCACCUGAAAUGUUAUGAUUUCAGAUUGUUUUCACGACAGAGAGUCCCAUGAAGAAGAGUAGCAUGAAAAAGAAUUGCCUUAAUUCCUGCUAAUAACCAUUCUAAUGAUGUUAAGAGAUUAAUAAUGUUCUUCUCUGGCGAACAGUUCACAAUAUGCCAGGAACUGUUUUGUAGUCUUACACCAUCUAAUUAUAAUUAACAUGUAUAUAAGUGUAAGUAAGUUUAUGUGAUAAAACACACAAAAGAGCUAAGAUAUUUCAUGUAUCACUGCAUAAAAGUUUGAUUAAGAGUUUUAGAUUUUUUAAACCUGUAACUGAAAACCUUUAAAUACUAGUAUAUACAAUGAUUUACUUGCAUACCCAUGUCAAUAUGUUAAUCUUUUUUUCCUAUUAACUAUUUUUUUAUUAUCUUUAGUAGACCGAAUAUGAUGUACAUCUACAACUAAUAUGGAGUUUGUGAGUCUGGUCAGACAGACUGGCCUGUCCUCCUGUUUAUAUGCUGCCAUUUUGCAACGCUUAAGCAAUAGUAUAUACUUCCUCUAUUUGUGUGAGACUUCCAGUUUGAUUCAUAAGCACCUGCUUGUAAAUGUAUUAAAGAAACUUCUGAGAAUUAGCGCUGUUGUUUGUUAUGAUAAUGAAAUUAUUAUUAUUAUUAAUAUUAUUAUUAUUAUUAUUAUUAUUAUUAUUAUUAUUAUUAUUAUUAACAGUUUUUUUCUGUUAUGGAGACUGGUGACUCUUGAGGGCCCUGAGUAUGGCAAUUAACCCUCUCUGCUCCAGAGGCAGAGUAUUAUUGCUGACCCUAAGCUUCGACCCCUGCUUCCUAACCAGCUGGGAUAUGUGGAUUUCACUGUACAGUAAUGUAAAAAAAAAAAAAAAAAAGCUCCUUCAUCUCCUCUUCAUUUAUGUGUUGAUAUCCAUAUUACCCAAAUGCUUCCACCCUUCCACUGGUCUUCUCUCUUGUAGGCAAAUCCAGUUAGCUAAAGAAAGUGGUUUUAUCCUACCCUCUCUUUUCUUUGUGUAAAUCUAUACUCACUACUGUGAACAAUUAACAAUCAAAUCAUGCGGCUGACAAUGGCUUAGUGCAAUUUUAUAUGUAAGUAGUAACACAGUCCAGACUGUGUGGUUGCAUUUGCUAUUCUGACCAUUUGCUGCAGCUCAUGUUUUGUUUUGAUUGUCACGAUUAACAAAACCUUGUAUAACUGUACUCAUCCUACCUGCCUACCUGACAAAGGAUUUGUAAAUAUAAUGCAUUUACAUCGCUGCAAUAUAUAUGUCACUUUUACUACAAAAAAACCAAACCAACAAUCCUGAACUAAUAAAUACUAGAAAUUAAAAUGUCUGAAUGAAAAAUUAAAUAGUAUUCAGGAGAAAAUGCUCACUUUCAAAAGACGUAUUUUUUUAGUGUCUGUGUUGAUGUGUGUCUGUCUUAGCAGAUCUGUGAGCAUGGCCAUGUCUCUACAGAGGGCUGUGAGGUGGCCAGUAUUAGGCACCUUUUGGCUUCACCAUCUCGAACAGAAGGUUUUAAUCAUCUUGUGAUAAUAUUUUUUUUCAAUAUCUUUGUCAGUGAAACAUUUUACCAUAGGAUUUUUUUCUGACAUCAGAUAACACACCAAUACACAAUCACAAGAUGGAGGCUGAGACAGAUGUAAAUGCAUUUAGGGCAGUUUUAUUAAAAAGCUAUCAAACAGUCUAAUACACUAGGCAAACUCAUAAUCACUGGAAUAGGCACAGAUCAGGUGAUUGGCAAACAGGAUAAACAGGGCUAAAUAUAGACAAAAAUACAGACAAAACUGGGAAAGUUUUAGUAUGAUAGCAACUUCAUUCAGCCAAUCAUUCACAUGCUGGCUUAAUCUGUAUCAUGAUGCGUGUUAAUAUCUACUUAAGUUGAGCUUUUCUCAUCAAGUCCUGUUGGUGUUCAUUAAAAAAAAAAAAGCAAUACUGUCUCUGCUGCCAUGGCACAUUAAAAAUAAACCAGCUGAGCAUGUAAAUGUGCAAGUCAUAAGCAAAGUAAUAAUAGCCAAAAUAACUUAUAAUAUUAUUUUAAGUCACAUGACACUGUAAUUGCUCACGGUAAAUUGUCAACAGUUUUUGGAGCUGCAAUCCCAGAUGAGUGAGGCAGCCCAGGCAACAGAUAAAAACAAAAUAUAAAAAUAUUAUAAAAGGUGGCAAGUAAUGGUCAUGGGCUACUUGUUUAAAAGCUGAUGUCCUUAUACUCUUUUUUGAUUGCCGUAUUUAAGACAAAGUGCCCCAUUCAUAUUUCUUACAAUUAAUAAGAGAAAGAAUAAAAUAAAAAAGUUGUGUGAACAUCAAUAAGCUUUGUUUUCCAUCUUUAUUUAAGAGUGCUACUGCCUGGCAGCACUACAUAUGAGGUGAAUAUUAUGUGAGCACAAGUGAUUUCAGUAUAUUCAAUUUUAGCCAACUUUGAACAUAAUCCAGAUUCUUCAAAUAGAUUCGGACAGAGAUGUACUCUGAGUGAAUGCUCUCUGUUUGUAAUCUCAGUCUGGAAGUAAACUCUUUCAUAUUAAAUUGCCAGAAUGGUCUCCA